AUGAUAGUGAGAAGAUUUGACUGCUCCAGCGAAGUUCAGCAAUUUCUGGCCACCAGCUGGGCCUCAUUCGCUCGGGUUCGACGCUGUUGCUGACGCCGGCGACUCUUCCGUCACUUCCGGCUUCGUUUCUGGCUUGACAACAUCUGUAGGCCGAGCAUCAAGGAUCACGCUAGGUUGUAGCACCAGGAAUCAUCAGUUCUCCCUCAAGCCAGCUUCGGCAGUGUGUGGGAAACUGGGUUUAGCUGAAAUCGAUUCUUGAAGGUAUAAUUCGAACCUUGUUGUCCUUUUUGUGACAGUCGAAACUUGAUGAACUGGGUUGUUUGGCUGAGAUUGUAUUACACUGGUUCUAUGUUUGGUUGCUCAAGGUUGGGUUUGAAUCGGAUAGAGAAUCCAAAUGAGUUGAUAACCUGUGUUAUUGUGGCCUUGAAGUGAAUAUUUGGUUGACUGAAUGUUGUAUAAGCUCGAUUGCAUGUGCAGAAUGGGUUGUGUGUCAAUGUGAAUGGAUUGUGAUUGUCAAGCUUGU
rnacentral:lncRNA from 1 species